GUGCUCACUUCAGCAGCACAUAUACUAAAAUUGGAUUGAUACAGAGAUUAGCAUGGCCCCUGUGCAAAGAUGACACACAAAUUUGUGAAGCACUCCAUUUAAAA
rnacentral:snRNA from 1 species